rnacentral:rRNA from 1 species
GACGAACGCUGGCGGCGUGCUUAACACAUGCAAGUCGAACGGAAAGGCUCCGUCUUUGUGGUGUGCUCGAGUGGCGAACGUGAGUGAAACAUGUGCGUAACCCGCCCUUGACUUUGGUAUCUCCUGAGGAAACUGGGUCAUAUCGGGGACAGCCUCCCCGGCUGCAUGGUGGGGGUGGGAGAGUUUCGGCGGAUGGGGAUGGACUCGCGGCUCAUCAGCUUGUUGGUGGGGUAGUGGCUUACCAAGGCUUUGACGGGUAGCCGGCCUGAGAGGGUGACCGGCCACAUUGGGACUGAGAUACGGCCCAGACUCCUACGGGAGGCAGCAGUGGGGAAUAUUGCGCAAUGGGCGGAAGCCUGAUGCAGCGACGCCGCGUGCGGGAUGAAGGCCUUCGGGUUGUAAACCGCUUUCGCCUGUGACGAAGCGAGAGUGACGGUAAUGGGUGAAGAAGCACCGGCUAACUACGUG